rnacentral:misc_RNA from 1 species
GAAAUGCGAUAAGUAAUGUGAAUUGCAGAAUUCAGUGAAUCAUCGAAUCUUUGAACGCACAUUGCGCCCGCCAGUAUUCUGGCGGGCAUGCCUGUUCGAGCGUCAUUUCAACCAUCAAGCCCCCGGCUUGUGUUGGGGACCUGCGGCUACCCGCAGGCCCUGAAAAACAGUGGCGGGCUCGCUGUCACACCGAGCGUAGUAGCAUACAUUCUCGCUCAGGGCGUGCUGCGGGUUCCGGCCGUUAAACGACCUUCAUAACCCAAGGUUGACCUCGGAUCAGGUAGGAAGACCCGCUGAACUUAAGC